UACGAAGGGGGCUAGCGUUGCUCGGAAUCACUGGGCGUAAAGCGCACGUAGGCGGAUUGCUAAGUCAGGGGUGAAAUCCUGGAGCUCAACUCCAGAACUGCCUUUGAUACUGGCGAUCUUGAGUCCGGGAGAGGUGAGUGGAACUGCGAGUGUAGGGGUGAAAUUCGUAGAUAUUCGCAAGAACACCAGUGGCGAAGGCGGCUCACUGGCCCGGUACUGACGCUGAGGUGCGAAAGCGUGGGGAGCAAACAGG
rnacentral:rRNA from 1 species